ACCGGCCAAUCUCGCCGCCCCUUUGCCUGGGGGCUUUUUUCAUAACCGAGGAAAGCCAGCGCGCCAAGGAAUGAAAACCACCCAAAAGCAGCAGCAGCCCCAACCGGCAACUGGUAGGAGUUGGUGUAUAAAUACCCUAGUCCCUAGCAUGACCCCUCGCAUGGGGUCUACAAGCCAUUUAAGACACAGAAUAAAUCAUACUUAUGACCUGAGAGCUUCUGUUGUUCUUUAUGAUUCACUGAUCAACCGUGAACGAAGAAACAAAUGCUGGAAUUUUGGUGACAGCAUAUUGGUGAUUCUCUCCAGGAGACUGCGGUCUCGCAAAGAAUCAGAGACCAAGGGAGGGCAGCUUCCUCAGAGAUUCUGUAGCCCAGCUCAUCCAUCUUUAUAGAUGACAAAAUUCAGCUCAGAAAGGAGCUUCACAUGCAGGUGCCGGACGCGCUCCGUCUGCACGGUGGGGUAGAAGGACGCGGACACCAGGAUUUUAAGCUGCGUCAGGAUGGAGGACAGCAGUCCCAGCACCACUAGUAUCACAAGAAUAAUGCUGAGAGGAACCCAGGUCUUAGACAGAAGGAGCUUUGGCUCGGGGAUGCAGGUCUUCAAGCAACAACUGGAUGCCCCAAGUUCAAGGGAGGAAUAGCGACAGGAGUGAGAUUGCACUGCCUUCCCAGCACUGCUGUUUCCAUGGCUCCUUUAGAAGUCUGCUGAUUCCCUUCCUCUUCUGCAGAGAGACUGUUCCGGCCAGCGUUAAGCUCAGGCUCACUCCUCCCCUGAACCAGCCCAUUUGGUGUCAGGCCCAUCCCGGUCUGAGGUCAAGGCCACAGGUCCAUCGUUCUCUCCCAGGAUCAGGGAGCUGAGAGGUAUGUUCAGUGCAGGUGCCCACACUUUCUGUUGGGCUGGGGAGCGGCGGGGGGGGGGGGUGGCACGUCGCAGGGUCGGGCUGUCAUAUGAUGGAAAAUCAGGGCAGUGUGGAUAGCCCUCAGCAUUGUAAAUACUUACAAGGGUCAGACAAGCACUGUAAAGAAUAAAGGAAAUCAGGAGGCACAGACACUUCUUGGGGUGAGGGGUAUAGAGCAAUGGGCAGUAGGUCUUGGGGGCCAGAGAGCCCAGGCCCCAGUUACAGUUAUAGGUAAAGUAGCCUCCAAACCAACAGAUUUUUUUCAAGCCUGUAUGGAGUCCCAGUGUUGCCAAAUUUUCUGCUGUUGUUUUUUUUUUUUUCCAAAAGAAGCCAGAAAUCUAG